rnacentral:rRNA from 1 species
CCUACGGGAGGCAGCAGUGGGGAAUAUUGGACAAUGGGCGAAAGCCUGAUCCAGCCAUGCCGCGUGUGUGAAGAAGGCCUUCGGGUCGUAAAGCACUUUCAGUGGGGAAGAAAGCCUUGGGGCUAAUACCCUCGAGGAAGGACAUCACCCACAGAAGAAGCACCGGCUAACUCCGUGCCAGCAGCCGCGGUAAUACGGAGGGUGCGAGCGUUAAUCGGAAUUACUGGGCGUAAAGCGCGCGUAGGCGGUCUGAUAAGCCGGUUGUGAAAGCCCCGGGCUCAACCUGGGAACGGCAUCCGGAACUGUCAGGCUAGAGUGCAGGAGAGGAAGGUAGAAUUCCCGGUGUAGCGGUGAAAUGCGUAGAGAUCGGGAGGAAUACCAGUGGCGAAGGCGGCCUUCUGGACUGACACUGACGCUGAGGUGCGAAAGCGUGGGUAGCAAACAGGAUUAGAUACCCGUGUAGUC